CAGCCGAGCAGCGGAAGCGCUAGGGCCCCAGCUCCAGCCCUCCAAGCCGGCGCGAGUAGCCCACGCCACGCCCUCCGUCAGGUUUCAUGAUUCCUCAAUGUGGCCCUGCCCCUGGAGCACCAGGAAAGUAAGAAAUGCUACGGAAAAGAAGGGGAGAGAGGUCACAGCAGUUUGACAUUAAGAGAAAGGAAAAGAAACUUAAAUAUCGCCGCCGCGGCCGCCCCCAUGACAGGCACCGCAGAGAUACCGCCGCCCCCCAGCCCUGCGCAGUUCUGCGCCCCCGCCCGACCCAAGAGGAGCUGCU
rnacentral:lncRNA from 1 species